rnacentral:tRNA from 1 species
GCUGGACAGCUCAGUUGGUUAGUGCAUGGUACUGAUAAUGUCAAGGUUGCAGGUUCGAACCCCAUAUGGGACAGCU